UUUUGAUCUCGUUCUACAACCACGCGCCGUACGGGCCGUUCAGGCUGCCGUCCGCUCCUCUCGAGCUGAAAUCCAUUUCCUAAAAUUGACGAUUUCCACUCUGGCCAAUACAGUCUGCUUCCACUGAGUGACACUCCUUCACCUUCAGCCACAGAGGGGGCAGUCCCUCGGUUUGUGUUGCCUGUAGCAGCGUAAUCAAACCCCACCGGCUGGCAGACGAAGCUUUCUAUCCACGUGCUGUCGAGUCCGUGGCUCCACACCCACGGGCCCUGAAAGGAAUAAUCUUCUUGUUGAGAAUUUAAGAGAAUGAAUAGAACGACAUAUUCUUACCAAGGCUAAUAGUGAAGCAGCGGUUCUUGGGAUCAGGGUUGUCCAGUGAGUUUCAUCUUUGCAUGGAACUGGACUACAGGGAUCUUGAGAUCUUCAUCUGGUUCACUCAUCUAUACCUGAGAUAAUUCAACAUACAACAGACAUUCCAGGGUGAAAUUCCCAAUCGUAGCUGCACCUGUGGGUGCCUGACAAUAGGCUGCUGAGGUGCAGCAGCAAGAACAGGAAAAGCGAGAGGAACAUCAGCGGGAACAGGGGGACGCUUCUUCAUCCUCGGUCAUGGUGUCCUAACCAGAAUCCUCACUGGUCCAGUCUUCCAGUCCUUAUCCUUAUCCCCCUCCUCCUCCUAACUAUCCACGUAUUUAUCCCCCACUAAAUCACCCUCAUCAUCUUCAGAGAAUGGAAAAAUGCCCUCACCUUGACCUUCAUCCACAAUAACAAACUCAACCAUCCAUCCUCUUCGUCAUCAGAGGAGCUGUAGAUUGGGCGAUUGUUGUCCAGAAUCCUGAUGACUUCUGGGAGGCCAUUUGCUGCAGGACGAUCAAUUAUGUAGUUUCCACGCUGUGAGGAGGCACCUGAGGAGAAAAAGUUAAAGCACCUGAGAACUAGAUUUCACAACUUAAGAAUGUCUCACAAUAUCAACUCUUUGGGACAAUCAAAGUUAGAAAAGUCACUGUAAAACCAUUAUAUAACUAGCACUACUCUACAUGUGUUACAGGCUCCCUGUGACGAACCGACACACAAGCAGCUGCCCGCUUUAAAGGGUUCUGUCACUGUUAUUUUGAACAGAGGAGGACGUGAGAAUGAUUUUAUAUUGCACUCACAUGAGACUUAAUAAGGAUUAUUGUUUACACCACUCGGCCAUUUGUAACUGUUACCUGAUGGUAACAUGUAAAAUU